rnacentral:rRNA from 1 species
GACGAACGCUGGCGGCGUGCCUAACACAUGCAAGUCGAACGAUGAAGCCGGAGCUUGCUCCGGUGGAUUGGUGGCGAACGGGUGAGUAACACGUGAGCAAUCUGCCCUUGACUCUGGGAUAACUGCGGGAAACUGUAGCUAAUACCGGAUACGACACCUUGGGGCAUCCCAGGGUGUGGAAAGAAUUUCGGUCAAGGAUGAGCUCGCGGCCUAUCAGCUAGUUGGUGAGGUAAUGGCUCACCAAGGCGACGACGGGUAGCCGGCCUGAGAGGGUGACCGGCCACACUGGAACUGAGACACGGUCCAGACUCCUACGGGAGGCAGCAGUGGGGAAUAUUGCACAAUGGGCGAAAGCCUGAUGCAGCAACGCCGCGUGAGGGAUGAAGGCCUUCGGGUUGUAAACCUCUUUUAGCAGGGAAGAAGCGAAAGUGACGGUACCUGCAGAAAAAGCACCGGCUAACUACGUGCCAGCCGCCGCAGUAA